rnacentral:snoRNA from 1 species
AAGCCAUGGUGUGGGCAUUGAGACCAAUAGCUUUUGAACCUCUCCCAUGCUUCACUAAAUCCCUCUAGGUNN